rnacentral:misc_RNA from 1 species
UAAAAAAAAAAAAAAGAAAAGCAAGCGGUUUAUGUUAAAAUUAUUUAUUUAAAAAAUAAAAUUGACAUCCCAAUGCAAGAGAUUUUUUGCUUUACAAGAACUGUAUGCAACAUUUCUUCUAAUUAGAAAGAGACUGUUUUCAGUUUUCACUAAUCAAAUACAAGAUCAUCUAGCCCUUUAUUUUUUUAAUAAAAAAAGAAAAAGCUAAAAGUAUAAAACUUUGGGUGACAUGAUGUGAAAUUCCAUAUAAAUAGGGGAGGAAAGAUCCAUGAAGGAAACCACC